rnacentral:rRNA from 1 species
UACGUAGGGUGCAAGCGUUAAUCGGAAUUACUGGGCGUAAAGCGUGCGCAGGCGGUUUUGUAAGUCUGUCGUGAAAGCCCCGGGCUCAACCUGGGAACUGCGUUGGAUACUGGAGAACUAGAGUACGUAAGAGGGGGGUGGAAUUCCACGUGUAGCAGUGAAAUGCGUAGAGAUGUGGAGGAACACCGAUGGCGAAGGCAACCCCCCUGGGACGAUACUGACGCCUGGAGGCACGAAAGCGUGGGGAGCGAACAGG